CCUACGGGUGGCAGCAGUGGGGAAUAUUGCACAAUGGGGGAAACCCUGAUGCAGCGACGCCGCGUGGGUGAUGAAGUACUUCGGUAUGUAAAGCUCUGUCAGCAGGGAAGAUAAUGACGGUACCUGACUAAGAAGCUCCGGCUAACUACGUGCCAGCAGCCGCGGUAAUACGUAUGGGGCAAGCGUUAUCCGGAUUUACUGGGUGUAAAGGGAGCGUAGACGGCAAGGCAAGUCUGGAGUGAAAGCCCGGGGCUCAACCCCGGGACUGCAUUGGAAACUGUGUGGCUGGAGUGCAGGAGAGGUAAGUGGAAUUCCUAGUGUAGCGGUGAAAUGCGUAGAUAUUAGGAGGAACACCAGUGGCGAAGGCGGCUUACUGGACUGUAACUGACGUUGAGGCUCGAAGGCGUGGGGAGCAAACAGGAUUAGAUACCCUAGUAGUC
rnacentral:rRNA from 1 species